GACGGAGGAGGCUAGCGUUGUUCGGAAUUACUGGGCGUAAAGCGCGCGCAGGCGGUCUUGCAAGUCAGGGGUGAAAGCCCGGGGCUCAACCUCGGAACUGCCUUUGAGACUGUGAGACUCGAGACCGAGAGAGGAGAGUGGAAUUCCCAGUGUAGAGGUGAAAUUCGUAGAUAUUGGGAAGAACACCAGUGGCGAAGGCGGCUCUCUGGCUCGGUACUGACGCUGAGGCGCGAAAGCGUGGGGAGCAAACAGG
rnacentral:rRNA from 2 species